AUAUCCUUGCAGAGUUGACCAAGAGCCAGAAGGUUUUCUCAGAAAAGCUGGACCACCUGAGCCGCAGGCUUGCCUGGGUCCAUGCCACCGUCUACUCACAGAGCUGGGGACCGAACCCAGGGCCUUGCACUUGCUAGGCAAGCGCUCUACCACUGAGCCAAAUCCCCAACCCUAUCUCCAUUUCUUCAACAACGUUGUUGGACGUGGUAGACUCCUUGGGUCAGCAUCAACUGAACCAAUAUUACUCCAACAGCCCAUGAAUGGAAACGUCUCUGAUUAUUUGUGUCCUUAAUUUCUUCCAGCAAUAUUUAGUAGUUUUCAUUUUGUCUCCUACAACUUCACAGAAUUUGUUUCUAAUUCUCCCUGUGUGUGUGACCUUUGGAAUUUCCCUUUUCUUCUUCUUUAACCGUUAAGAUUUCUAAACAUAAGACAGCAUUUGUGAACAGAGGUGGCUUUUCACUUCCCAUCCCAAUUUGGAUGCUUUAAAUUUGUAUUUCUUGCCUGAUUUUCCUGUUUGUGAUCCCCAAUGCUAUGUUGAGUAGAAGUGGCAACCAUAGACAUCUAUCUUUGUCUUGUUCUGAAUCUCAGACCAAGAGUGAGUCCAACCUUUGGCUACUGAGUGUGAUAUUAGAGGCAGGCUUUUCCUGCGUCUUCAGUGCUCCCUCCCUCUCUCCCUCCCCUGCCUGUUAUUAAAGUGUGGGUGUUUUCUGGACUACAGCUGCCCACAGCACUCUCC
rnacentral:lncRNA from 1 species